rnacentral:tRNA from 21 species
GCCUGAGUGAUGAAAUUGGUAGACAUGACGGAUUCAAAAUCCGUUGGUGAAUAACCGUGUCGGUUCGAGUCCGACCUCAGGCACCA